UACGAGGGGGGCGAGCGUUGUUCGGAAUUACUGGGCGUAAAGGGCGCGUAGGCGGCCUGUUAAGUCGAACGUGAAAUCCCCGGGCUCAACCCGGGAACUGCGUCCGAUACUGGCAGGCUUGAAUCCGGGAGAGGGAUGCGGAAUUCCAGGUGUAGCGGUGAAAUGCGUAGAUAUCUGGAGGAACACCGGUGGCGAAGGCGGCAUCCUGGACCAACACUGACGCUGAGGAGCGAAAGCCAGGGGAGCAAACGGG
rnacentral:rRNA from 1 species